rnacentral:rRNA from 1 species
GGCGCAGGUGGUUGUAUAAGUCUGAAGUAAAAGGCAGUGGCUCAACCAUCGUGUGCUUUGGAAACUGUACAACUUGAGUGCAGAAGGGGAGAGUGGAAUUCCAUGUGUAGCGGUGAAAUGCGUAGAUAUAUGGAGGAACACCGGUGGCGAAAGCGGCUCUCUGGUCUGUAACUGACACUGAGGCUCGAAAGCGUGGGAGCAAACA